rnacentral:rRNA from 1 species
ACUCCUACGGGAGGCAGCAGUGGGGAAUAUUGCACAAUGGGCGCAAGCCUGAUGCAGCGACGCCGCGUGAGGGAUGACGGCCUUCGGGUUGUAAACCUCUUUCGCCAGGGACGAAGCUUUUGUGACGGUACCUGGAGAAGAAGCACCGGCCAACUACGUGCCAGCAGCCGCGGUAACACGUAGGGUGCGAGCGUUGUCCGGAAUUAUUGGGCGUAAAGAGCUCGUAGGCGGUGUGUCGCGUCGGCCGUGAAAACUUGGGGCUUAACUCUGAGCGUGCGGUCGAUACGGGCAUCACUUGAGUUCGGCAGGGGAGACUGGAAUUCCUGGUGUAGCGGUGAAAUGCGCAGAUAUCAGGAGGAACACCGGUGGCGAAGGCGGGUCUCUGGGCCGAUACUGACGCUGAGGAGCGAAAGCAUGGGGAGCGAACAGGAUUAGAUACCCUGGUAGGCUCUGC